rnacentral:rRNA from 1 species
UACGUAGGGUGCGAGCGUUGCCCGGAUUUAUUGGGCGUAAAGGGCGCGUAGGCGGCUCGGCACGUCCGUUGUGAAAUCGCCCGGCUCAACUGGGCGGGGUCAGCGGAUACGGUCGAGCUUGAGCAAGCUAGGGGGCAAUGGAAUUCCCGGUGUAGUGGUGGAAUGCGUAGAUAUCGGGAGGAACACCGGUGGCGAAGGCGGCGACCUGGUUCGAUACUGACACUGAGGUGCGAAAGCGUGGGGAGCAAACAGG